GGGGCCUUAAUGGUUUCGACGUGUUGGCGAAAACUGACCCGUGAUACAGGUCGAGAGUGAGUCUCCUCUCGUAAAUCCAAGGCUCGAAAAAAAGUAACUGCGAACAACAUCGUUCCUUUUGCUCGUAAGGCUGCCACUGUCGCUGCCUAAUAACCUCUAACAGGUUCGAGCGUCUGUAGUUUGACUCCGUUAAGGACUGCGGACAAACCCCAACGGAUGCGCUAACUAGUUUUCUUUGGUAGGCUAAUUAGCUAAGACUUCACCAAAGUAUCCUGUCAUCCGGGAUAAUGGAUGGUUCCUGCCCCAAGGGUUAGAGGGGAUAAGCCUGUGAAUGAGCGAUAGGUGAAUACCCAGGGCGGACACGGGUUCAAUUCCCGUAGGCUCCACUU
rnacentral:tmRNA from 5 species